AAUUCGCCUCACGGCGCCAUUGGUUGGCCGCCUGGAUCGGAUCGAUCAUGUUAAUACGGUCACGACUCCCUUUCGGUCACAUCGACAAACGAAGGAGGCACAUAGAGUACAUGGCCUCGGCAGGUCGCGGGAGGUCAAGCAGGGUUCACACGCACCAGUAACUGUCAAGUGUCAUCGUUGCUGUCACCUCCAGACGCCGUACGCGUGAGAAAGAUGGCGAUAUGCUGACCCUCAUUCAUCGGAACAAAGAACAAAGUGCAAGGAUCACGUGAUGCAAACAUUUGAGUCUCGCCAUUCUCACCUGCGAGACGGAAAGACGAAAAGACCUUUCGCGUGACGUCACGAAGACCGUUAUGGAAAUGUCUCAUUAGCACGUGUGCUGAGGCCUUUGAUGACAUUAGAAUUUAUCAAAUGAGAGAAAAAAAAUAAUGACUCCACAUUUUGUGACACGACAACAAUAUGUUCUAUUGAAGUCUGAGUCAGGUUUAGCUCCAUUGACAGGUAAACCGUCCACGUGA